AAACGCUCGUAGUUGAAUAUCUGCUUAGUACCCCCGGUCCACCCCAGUGGUGUGUACUCGGUCUGUGCUUAGCAUUUUUCUGGGGAACGCGUUCGCACUUCAUUGUGUGGCGCUUGAUCUGGUACUUUUACUUUGAGGAAAUGAGAGUGUUUCAAGCAGGCAGUUUGCUUUGAAUACGUUAGCAUGGAAUAAUAACGUGGGACUUCGUUCUAGAGUUGUUGGUUUUUGGAGCGAUGGAAUGAAAAUAGGGGUAGCUGGGGGCAUUAGUAUUUAAUUGUCAGAGGUGAAAUUCUUGGAUUUUUUAAAGACGAACUACUGCGAAAGCAUCUGCCCAGGAUGCUUUUAUUAAUCAAGAACGAAAGUUAGGGGAUCGAAGACGAUCAGAUACCGUCCUAGUCUUAACCAUAAACUAUGCCGACUAGAAAUUGGAGUCGUCAGAUUUUUGACGACUUCAGCAACUUGAGAGAAAUCAAAGUCUUUGGGUUCCGGGGGGAGUAUGGUCGCAAGGCUGAAACUUAAAGGAAUUGACGGAAGGGCACCACCAGGAGUGGAGCCUGCGGCUUAAUUUGACUCAACACGGGAAAACUCACCAGGUCCAGACGUAGAAAGGA
rnacentral:rRNA from 1 species